CGAAAGUUUUAUUCAUGCUUAUAGGCAAAAUUAUAUUAAAUAAAACAUGUAUGUUUUUCGAGGUUUGUGUUUUAAAUAGAUAAAUAUUACCCUCAGUUUUUGAUAUUAAAAAAUAUAUUAAAGUAUGAUUUAAUUAUAAUAUUCUGUUAUAACAAAAAUUGUGCCAGCAGUUGCGGUUAUACAAUUAAUAGCUAUUUUUCCUUAUUGGUUUAUAUUAAAUUAUAUCUUGAUAACCUAAUUGAACAUUAUUAAGUGAAAUGAUUAAUGUUUUAUUAUUUAUAAAAAUUAUGAUAUAUGAAAAUUAGAUAUAAGACUAGGAUUAGAUACCCUAUUAUUCUAAUAGUAAAAAUGUUAACUAAACUAUUAAUAGAAGAUCUUUAAAUUUAAAGAAUUUGGCGGUAAUCAAUCCCUUCAGAGGGACCUGUUUUUUAAUUGAUAAUCCACAAUAAAUUUUACUAAUCUUUGUACUUAUAUAUCUCUGUCAUUGAAUAAUCUUUAAAGAAUUUUUCUAAGGGUUUAUAAAUUUAAGUCAAAAUGUUAGGUCAAGGUUUAGUAAUAGAUUAGUAAAGAUGGGUCACAUUUUCUUUAUAGGAAGAUAAAUAUAUGGAAAUAUAUUUUGAAUAUGGAUUUGAUAGUAAAAUUUACUAAAUAGUGAAUUUGAUAUUGGCUCUAGAUUACGUACAUAUCGCCCGUCGCUCUCAUUUUUAUUGAGAUAAGUCGUAACAAAGUAGGUUCAUCGGAAGAUGGGCCUAGAGA
rnacentral:ncRNA from 1 species